CACAACCCCUUGGUUUGACCGAGAUAACCCCUCAGGAAAUGGAGAUUAUGAGACCCUCACCGAUCUACGAAACGAAUACCCUAACGAGAUCUGCGAUGAACCCUACGCAAUCCACGUCCAGACUGUGGAUGGGAUCCCUGCCUCACAGACUGGGCAAAUAUUCGGAGAGUUCGAUCCCCUCAAAGGGUUUGCUUGCGUUAACGAACAGCAGACCCCCAGCAACGAACCGUGUCGUGACUACAAGGUUCAAUUCACCUGUCCAAAGACAUUCUGUUGAGGCCCUAUCAAGAUCCAGUCAACAUUUACUCACCAGGAGGUGAGUAAAUCAUCUCCAUGAAGCUCAAGCAUCUAGCUGGUUGCCAUCUAUGUUUCUCCCUCUUUUACAUAUUUUCCCCGAGUGGCUAC